UACGUAGGCAGCAAGCGUUGUUCGGAAUUACUGGGCGUAAAGAGUGUGUAGGCGGUGCUCUAAGUUUGGUGUGAAAUCUCCCGGCUCAACCGGGAGGCUGCAUCGAAUACUGGAAUGCUAGAGGGUGGGAGAGGUAAGCGGAAUUCCUGGUGUAGCGGUGGAAUGCGCAGAUAUCAGGAGGAACACCGGUGGCGAAGGCGGGUCUCUGGGCCGUUACUGACGCUGAGGAGCGAAAGCGUGGGGAGCGAACAGG
rnacentral:rRNA from 1 species